CAAAUACAAUCUCAAAAAAAAAAAAAAAAAAAAGUAAAAAAAAAUGACUUUGAUAAAAUACUGUUAGAAUAUACAAAAAAUGAUGGUUCCAAGGUCGAACAAAAUACGAAUACUGUUAUAAAUAAUGUAGUUAAUAAUAAUAAAGAUAAUACUACAAUGUUAAAAAAUUUGAACAAAAAUAAAAAAAAUAAUCUUGUCAUUCAAAACAUCCACGAAAAUAACUGUGGUGAUGAAAAUGAUGAUAGUUUAAAAAAAAAAAAAAAAAAAAAAAAAAAAAUAAUAAUAAUAAUAAUAAUAAUGAUAAAACUGAAAAUAACGCGAAUAAAGAAAAAAACGUUGAAGAAGGUGUUAACAGCCAUAUUAAUAAUACACCAAAGAAAGGAGAUCCUAAUCAUUAGGACACAGCUAAAGAAACGUUAGCGUCGAAUAAAAACGGAUAAGGAAAAUGCAGUUCUCAAAAAUGAUGACAAUGCAAUAAACACAAAUGAAAAACUAAAAGAAAUCAUUAACAAAACGUC